UACGUAGGGGGGCGAGCGUUGUCCGGAGUUACUGGGCGUAAAGCGCACGCAGGCGUCUGCUAAGUUUGGAGUGACAGUUUGGUGGCUUAACUGCCAAAAGUGCUUUCGAAAAACUGACAGACUUGAGGGCUUCAGAGGGACACGGAAUUCCGGGUGGAGUGGUGAAAUGCGUAGAGAUCGGAAGGAACACCCAAAGGCGAA
rnacentral:rRNA from 1 species